AGUUACAAAGAGAAUCCAGCCUUCAACAGCUGUUGGGGGACGGGGGGAAGUUGUAUGAGUACACGAGAGAAACACUUCAAGCAGGCUCACAGGAAUAGAUUUGUGAAUGCUCUCUGGAGCCCCAAAAGAUAAAAGAAUAAGUAACCAUGACAGUCAUUUGUAACAAUCGUCUCUUUCCCAACACACUACCUGCAAGCCGACCCAAACCGCCUCGUCUCAGUGCCUUCCCGGUCACGCCCUCCCUUCUCCUGAAGGGGGCGGAAUCUCUAAUCCACCCAAGACCCGGUUCUCCGAUUCCCAUCCUCAAGACCGGGGAGAAAAGAGGAGUAAAUUUUCCUAUUAUAGCCUUCUCUCGCACCUUCCCCGCUUCCCCCCAGCCGCCUCCACUGUCCUCACCGUCCCCAUCCUCAUCCAUGGCGAAAUCUUCGCCCCCAGCCUCGUGAAGAUCUAGCACGUCCGCCAUCUCGCCUUCGAUCGAGAUCUCGUCUGUGCCGCUCAGACACUAGGUACCUCGGGAAACUGUCGCAGAG
rnacentral:antisense_RNA from 1 species